AAGUCGUAACAAGGUUUCCGUAGGUGAACCUGCGGAAGGAUCAUUAAAAAAUAUAGAAUUAAUUUUCUAUAAACCCAAUCUGUGUAUUCGUGCGCGGUGGAUGAAUGGGCGGCGUGCCCACCCACGUUUUGUCGGCUGGCAGGGGACCAUUUCCUAAUAGUGUGACUGUCGUACAGUUGAAGUGUGCCUCGUGCUACUUUGACCGCGAUCCGAUGCUCACAUGGGCUUGAGACUGCAACCUGAUUUUUACAUACGAAGUGUACUGAUGAAACUCAAUCGCUAGCAAUGGCCAUUGGGGAACAAUAGUUAAUAACUAACUAUUCGAUACAACUCUUAGCAACGGAUAUCUCGGCUGAC
rnacentral:misc_RNA from 1 species